rnacentral:rRNA from 1 species
CCUACGGUGAGCAGCAGUGAGGAAUAUUGGUCAAUGGGCGCGAGCCUGAACCAGUCAAGUCGCGUGAGGGAAGACGGUCCUAUGGAUUGUAAACCUCUUUUGUCGGGGAGCAAAAGACGCCACGUGUGGCGUUCCGAGAGUACCCGAAGAAAAAGCAUCGGCUAACUCCGUGCCAGCAGCCGCGGUAAUACGGAGGAUGCGAGCGUUAUCCGGAUUUAUUGGGUUAAAAGGGUGCGCAGGCGGAAGAUCAAGGCAGCGGUAAAAUUGAGAGGCUCAACCUCUUCGAGCCGUUGAAACUGGUUUUCUUUAGUGAGCGAGAAGUAUGCGGAAUGCGUGGUGUAGCGGUGAAAUGCAUAGAUAUCACGCAGAACUCCGAUUGCGAAGGCAGCAUACCGGCGCUCAACUGACGCUCAUGCACGAAAGUGUGGGUAUCGAACAGGAUUAGAUACCCUUGUAGUC